AUCCACGCGCUCCUACUAUCACUGUCGUGUGGGUCAUGUUUGUCAGUGUUCUCCUCAAGCUCAGGAUGGUAACAAAUCCCGCGCUGCUCGCCGAUAUGGGUGGGAGGCAGGUGCUGGGAUCCCUCUGACCUCGGAAUCGGGCUUCGCCCGAUUAUAAAACAAUGCACUGCCUUCCCUUCUUGGCUACAACCGCGUGGAUCGGGCAAAACUUUGUGCAUCCUUGCUGUGGACAAGGAUUGGGUGCCGCCGGUGCCGCUGCUGGGGAUCUUCGUCUGCACAGGCGCUCGGGUCACGACGGUCGCCUGGGUGCUUCACCAGGCCGUGGGGUUGAUAUCAGUGGUCUCAGCUGGCCAAAUCGGUGGGCAAGGGGAAGGGAAUUUCUCAUCAGCACGCCUCCGUCGCCGCUGUUCUGUCGUACCGCGUCGACAACCUCAUCCUCGUCACCAUCGACGGUGAGAACGCCUCUGUAUGGCUCGCCUUCAUCUCUGCUCCGUCUACCGUCCCUUGGAUUUGAGGAUUUGUGCUCAGAUCGGCAGGCGGCCGUGCACCGGUAAUGGCACCACCGUAGGGUGGCUGGCGCCGCCGCUGUUCGCGUCCGGUGUGGUGCAAGCGUACUAGGGUUGCAGAUGACCGUUGGAUCCUAUUCAACGUUUGUGAUCCAAUCAACGAGAUACCGGUUCGGGAAUAGAUCGUAACCGUUGGGAAAUGCAUUGAGUGGUUAGGAUUAAAGAUAAGGAACUCGUUCGGUCGAUGCGAUCGUAGCCCUCGAUUUGAAAUUGGACGGUUCCGGUUGCUUACCAGUUAGAGUUAUAUGGAACCUAAUCCUGACCUUGUGCCACCGAUCGGACGGCUAGGAUCGUCUGAUACCCCUUUGACCAGUGUGUCUUGCAAAAGAGACCCUGGGUUUUCAUACAUUCAACCUACCGUCCACACCUGUGGUAAAGUAAUUGCACCUGGACCCAGAAAUUUGUGAACUAAACCCUGUGUUUACUGGUAUUUAUGCCAGCAGCCCAGUGAGCACCUAAAAUGAAUAAAACAAUUUAGAAAAUGGUUUCCAAUAUAGAAAUAAUUCUAGAAUAUUGUUUAAUUCAUAGAAAAAUUAUUUUAAUUCAUUUUUGAUCCAUUCCAGUUGCGUUGAAUUCAUAAUAAUAUUGUUUAUCAUCUAGUAACCUUGUGUUGUUAUAAACAUAUAUUAGAAGUUAUACACUUAGUUUCUUUUAAUCCAACAUUUAAAACUCCGGAAAUCCAUAACUUCUUCGUUCUAAUUCUGAUUUGGUCCGUUCAAGUCGCGUUAGCUUGAUAUGAAUAUUUACCAUACAGUAAACACGUGCCACCACAAGGGUGACAUGGGACGCCCUUGGCUGACUAACUAGGAAAGCUAGUGGAGGACUACCUACCUAAUAGAGGCAAGGGCAGUAGGGGAGUAGGCGUGUAGGGAGGUUACCGGGUUGAUUUUGCUGCGAUGGCGAUCAGACGGGGGAUUCCUGCAUUGCUCUUCCUAGAAACUGUAGCGGGUUUUCUGAAGCUAGUGGAACUUUGUAUAGGCCUCGUAGUGGAUCCCUAGCCAUUCACCUCGGAAGUGUCUAAGGGCCUUGCAAACCCUGGCGAGAUGGGAUACACGACUUGUGGGUACAGGGUACAACCUCUGCAGAGUGUAAAAUUGGUAUACUAGCCAUGCUCGCGGCCAUGAGCAGCUCAGGACUCUCGCAUGAUUGAAUUAUGGAACUAAUUCAAUUUGUCAUUUGCAUUGCAUGGGAUUUAUUAUUAAUUUUGUUCUAUUAUUAUUAUGAUUUGGUAUUUACUUACAUUUAGUAACUGCUAAUAAAAAAUUGACCAACUUAUUAAAAGCAAUGCUCAGCUUUAAGCCCUAUUAUUGAUUAGCCUUACACUUCACAUGAACUCCCGCCUUUGGUGAGUUCAUGCACAUUAUUCCCCACAACUUGUUGAGCGAUGAACAUAUGUGAGCUCACCCUUGCUGUCUCACACCCCCCACAGGUCAGGAACAGGUACCACAGGAUGAGGCGCAUGGAGGAUGUUGUGAUGUGUUCGUGAGAGGUCUAGGUCAUCGUCUCCCAGUCAACUUUAGGUUGUUGGAUCGUUGUCUCCUUACGAUGUAAUUUUUUAUUUAUUUUGUACAGAACUCCGAUUAUAUAGUAAAGUUGUAAAAUUCGUUUCUGUACCUUGAUUCAUCAUAUGUGUGAGACUUGGUCCCGGC
rnacentral:lncRNA from 1 species